CUCUGAAUAUUCUCAAAGUUCUUAUUUUGUAAUAAUCAGAAUAGGCUAAACAUUCACUAUAAUAAGACCAUGAAUGUGUAGCCAGAUCUAGUUCUUUACUCAUCUAGAUCUAGUGAUAAAUAAAGAUAAAAAAG